ACGCGUGAGCAAUCUACCUUAGUUACGGGGAUAGCCCGAGGAAACUCGGAUUAAUACCUGAUAUUCUUUAUAUUUCGCAUGAAAUUAAAAGGAAAGGUCAGCCGAACUAAGAUGAGCUCGCGUUCUAUCAGCUAGUUGGUGAGGUAAAAGCUCACCAAGGCUACGACGGAUAGCUGGUCUGAGAGGACGAUCAGCCACACUGGGACUGAGACACGGCCCAGACUCCUACGGGAGGCUGCAGCAGGGAAUAUUGCGCAAUGAGCGAAAGCUUGACGCAGCGACACCGCGUGUGGGAUGACGGAUCUAGGUUUGUAAACCACUUUCAGGAGGGAAGAAAAUGACGGUACCUCCACAAGAAGCCCCGGCCAACUACGCGCCGGCAGCCGCGGUAAUACGUANGGGGCGAGCGUCGUCCGGAUUUAUUGGGCGUAAAGAGCUCGUAGGCGGUUCAACAAGUCGGUCGUGAAAGUUCAGGGCUCAACCCUGAAAUGUCGAUCGAUACUGU
rnacentral:rRNA from 1 species